rnacentral:rRNA from 1 species
GAUGAACGCUGGCGGCGUGCCUAAUACAUGCAAGUCGAGCGAACAGACGAGGAGCUUGCUCCUCUGCCGUUAGCGGCGGACGGGUGAGUAACACGUGGAUAACCUACCUAUAAGACUGGGAUAACUUCGGGAAACCGGAGCUAAUACCGGAUAAUAUAUUGAACCGCAUGGUUCAAUAGUGAAUGACGGUUUUGCUGUCACUUAUAGAUGGAUCCGCGCCGCAUUAGCUAGUUGGUAAGGUAACGGCUUACCAAGGCAACGAUGCGUAGCCGACCUGAGAGGAUGAUCGGCCACACUGGAGCUGAGACACGGUCCAGACUCCUACGGGAGGCAGCAGUGGGGAAUCUUCCGCAAUGGGCGAAAGCUUGACGGAGCAACGCCGCGUGAGUGAUGAAGGUCUUCGGAUCGUAAAGCUCUGUUAUUAGGGAAGAACAAAUGUGUAAGUAACUAUGCACGUCUUGACGGUACCUAAUCAGAAAGCCACGGCUAACUACGUG